UACGGGGGGGGCAAGCGUUGUUCGGAAUUACUGGGCGUAAAGGGCUCGUAGGCGGCCAACUAAGUCAGACGUGAAAUCCCUCGGCUUAACCGGGGAACUGCGUCUGAUACUGGAUGGCUUGAGUUCGGGAGAGGGAUGCGGAAUUCCUGGUGUAGCGGUGAAAUGCGUAGAUAUCAGGAGGAACACCUGUGGCGAAAGCGGCUCACUGGACCAUAACUGACGCUGAGGCGCGAAAGCUAGGGGAGCAAACAGG
rnacentral:rRNA from 1 species